rnacentral:rRNA from 1 species
CCCUUAGAUGUUCUGGGCUGCACGCGCGCUACACUGAUGCGUUCAACGAGUUUAUAACCUUGCCCGAUAGGGUUGGGUAAUCUUUUGAAAACGCAUCGUGAUGGGGAUAGAUUAUUGCAAUUAUUAAUCUUCAACGAGGAAUGCCUAGUAGGCGCAAGUCGUCAGCUUGCGUCGAUUACGUCCCUGCCCUUUGUACACACCGCCCGUCGCUCCUACCGAUUGGGUGUGCUGGUGAAAUGUUCGGAUCGGCCGUUUGUCGCGGUUUCCGCGUCAUGUGGCUGAGAAGUUCAUUAAACCCUCCCACCUAGAGGAAGGAGAAGUCGUAACA